CGGGGUGCAGCAGGCGCGAAAACUCUACAAUGCAGGCAACUGCGAUAGGGGAACAUCGAGUGAUACUCAUCUUGGGUGUCUGUCCUCCCGUCUAAAAAACGGGAGUUAGCAAGGGCCGGGCAAGACCGGUGCCAGCCGCCGCGGUAAUACCGGCGGCUCGAGUGGUGGCCGAUAUUAUUGAGUCUAAAGGGUCCGUAGCCGGCUUUGCAAGUCUUUUGGGAAAUCCAGCGGCUUAACCGUUGGUCGUCCGGGAGAUACUACAUUGCUUGGGACUGGGAGAGGUAGGAGGUACUCAGGGGGUAGGAGUGAAAUCCUGUAAUCCUUUGGGGACCACCGGUGGCGAAGGCGUCCUACCAGAACAGGUCCGACGGUGAGGGACGAAAGCUAGGGGCACGAACCGGAUUAGAUACCCGGGUAGUCCUAGCCGUAAACGAUGCUCGCUAGGUGUCACAACAAUCGUGAAUUGUUGUGGUGCCGUAGGGAAGCCGUGAAGCGAGCCACUUGGGAAGUACGACCGCAAGGUUAAACUUAAAGGAAUUGGCGGGGGAGCACAAGGGCGAUUCGCGG
rnacentral:rRNA from 1 species